GACGAACGCUGGCGGCGUGCCUAAUACAUGCAAGUAGAACGCACAGUUUAUACCGUAGCUUGCUACACCAUAGACUGUGAGUUGCGAACGGGUGAGUAACGCGUAGGUAACCUGCCUGGUAGCGGGGGAUAACUAUUGGAAACGAUAGCUAAUACCGCAUAAUAUUGAUUAUUGCAUGAUAAUUGAUUGAAAGAUGCUAUUGCAUCACUACCAGAUUGACCUGCGUUGUAUUAGCUAGUAGGUGAGGUAACGGCUCACCUAGGCGACGAUACAUAGCCGACCUGAGAGGGUGAUCGGCCACACUGGGACUGAGACACGGCCCAGACUCCUACGGGAGGCAGCAGUAGGGAAUCUUCGGCAAUGGACGAAAGUCUGACCGAGCAACGCCGCGUGAGUGAAGAAGGUUUUCGGAUCGUAAAGCUCUGUUGUAAGAGAAGAACGGGUGUGAGAGUGGAAAGUUCACACUGUGACGGUAUCUUACCAGAAAGGGACGGCUAACUACGUG
rnacentral:rRNA from 1 species